GGGUUGACUCAGCUGGUUAAUCCCAUUUGGUUUUGGGAGCCUUGGAUUGAUAGUCGCUCUGCAUGAGGCCAUUGGAUCUGAUGACUCCCUCCCCCACCCGCAAAAAGCUUUGUUUGGCCAAGUGGGGGCUGGGCACGUCUCCUUCCACAGGUGCCAUAAGAAGUUUAUGAUGAUUGGCGUUGGAUUCUCCUUACAACCAACUGAGCCCUCUCCAGCCAAGAGAUCUUAAUACUAACAACCCCUCUUGGAGGGGUACAUGCUGUGGACUGAACGCUUGUGUCCUCACCGCCAACCCCCAAUUCAACCAUCCGUGAGAUGAAAUUUGAAGUGGGGAUUUUUCCUUCUUUAAUCAAACACGCCAGCCAGUCCACACUCCGGCGCUCUCUCAUCGUCUGGAAUCAGGUCUGCUCCCCUGAGGGCCUGGAGCGGAGCCUAGUACCUGGAGGGUGUCAGCCUUCGUGAUUGAGGAGGCUGACGCAUGCGAAGUCAGCAGGGGCGCCGGGACAGCUGACGCCCCACGUGUGUAUCGCACCGGUGUCAGGGGACCGGAGGAAGAGGCAUUUGUUAUGGAAAAGCACCGAACACCCUCUGCAGCAUGAUUACCUGAUUAGUUCAUAGGGAGCUUGUUUUGUUCCUAUUAUGGAGACUAAUCAUGCGUUGUUUGGCUGUGUUAGCCCAUCCGGCUCCAAUAAAGACAUCAGUGACCAUGAAUAAAUGAAAUGGUUUGC